UACGUAGGGGGCAAGCGUUGUCCGGAAUUAUUGGGCGUAAAGGGUGCGUAGGCGGUUUGGUAAGUCUGAUGUGAAAUCUAUGGGCUCAACUCAUAGUCUGCAUCGGAAACUGCCGGGCUUGAGUAUGGGAGAGGUGAGUGGAAUUCCUGGUGUAGCGGUGAGAUGCGUAGAUAUCGGGAGGAACACCUGUGGCGAGAGCGGCUCACUGGACCAUUACUGACGCUGAUGCUCGAAAGCUAGGGGAGCAAACAGG
rnacentral:rRNA from 1 species